CCUACGGGUGGCAGCAGUGGGGAAUAUUGCACAAUGGGCGAAAGCCUGAUGCAGCAACGCCGCGUGAAGGAAGAAGGGUUUCGGCUCGUAAACUUCUAUCAACAGGGACGAAAGAAGUGACGGUACCUGAAUAAGAAGCACAGGCUAACUACGUGACAGCAGCCGCGGUAAUCCGUAGGGGGCAAGCGUUAUCCGGAAUUACUCGGUGUAAAGGGUGAGUAGGCGAGAUGGUAAGCCAGAUGUGAAAGCCUUGGGCUUAACCCGAGGAUUGCAUUUGGAACUAUCAAGCUAGAGUACAGUGGAGGAAAGCGGAAUUCCUAGUGUAGCGGUGAAAUGCGUAGAUAUUAGGAAGAACACCAAUGGCGAAGGCAGCUUUCUGGACUGAAACUGACGCUGAGGCACGAAAGCGUGGGGAGCGAACAGGAUUAGAUACCCCUGUAGUC
rnacentral:rRNA from 1 species